GAUGAAGAACGCAGCGAAAUGCGAUAAGUAAUGUGAAUUGCAGAAUUCAGUGAAUCAUCGAAUCUUUGAACGCACAUUGCGCCCGCCAGUAUUCUGGCGGGCAUGCCUGUUCGAGCGUCAUUUCAACCAUCAAGCCCCCGGGCUUGUGUUGGGGACCUGCGGCUGCCGCAGGCCCUGAAAACCAGUGGCGGGCUCGCUAGUCACUCCGAGCGUAGUAAUACAUCUCGCUCAGGGCGUGCUGCGGGUUCCGGCCGUUAAAAAGCCUUAUUUACCCAAGGUUGACCUCGGAUCAGGUAGGAAGACCCGCUGAACUUAAGCAUAUCAAUAAGCGGAGGA
rnacentral:misc_RNA from 1 species